rnacentral:rRNA from 1 species
CCCUUAGAUGUUCUGGGCUGCACGCGCGCUACACUGAUGCGCUCAACGAAUUUUAACCUUGCCUGGAAAGGUUGGGUAAUCUUUUUAAAACGCAUCGUGAUGGGGAUAGAUUAUUGCAAUUAUUAAUCUUCAACGAGGAAUUCCUAGUAAGCGCGAGUCAUCAGCUCGUGCUGAUUACGUCCCUGCCCUUUGUACACACCGCCCGUCACUCCUACCGAUUGAGUGAUCCGGUGAAUAAUUCGGACUGCGGCAUUGACCGGUUCCCGAUCGUUGCUGCGGAAAGUUUAGUGAACCUUAUCACUUAGAGGAAGGAGAAGUCGUAACA